UACGAAGGGGGCUAGCGUUGCUCGGAAUUACUGGGCGUAAAGGGCGCGUAGGCGGCCUGUUAAGUCGAACGUGAAAUCCCCGGGCUCAACCGGGGAACUGCGUCUGAUACUGGGUGGCUUGAAUUCGGGAGAGGGAUGCGGAAUUCCAGGUGUAGCGGUGAAAUGCGUAGAUAUCUGGAGGAGCACCGGUGGCGAAGGCGGCAUCCUGGACCGAGAUUGACGCUGAGGCGCGAAAGCCAGGGGAGCAAACGGG
rnacentral:rRNA from 1 species